rnacentral:rRNA from 1 species
CGUACAAGCAGUGGGAGCCUCUUAAUGGGGUGACUGCGUACCUUUUGUAUAAUGGGUCAGCGACUUAUAUUCUGUAGCAAGGUUAACCGAAUAGGGGAGCCGAAGGGAAACCGAGUCUUAACUGGGCGUUAAGUUGCAGGGUAUAGACCCGAAACCCGGUGAUCUAGCCAUGGGCAGGUUGAAGGUUGGGUAACACUAACUGGAGGACCGAACCGACUAAUGUUGAAAAAUUAGCGGAUGACUUGUGGCUGGGGGUGAAAGGCCAAUCAAACCGGGAGAUAGCUGGUUCUCCCCGAAAGCUAUUUAGGUAGCGCCUCGUGAAUUCAUCUCCGGGGGUAGAGCACUGUUUCGGCAAGGGGGUCAUCCCGACUUACCAACCCGAUGCAAACUGCGAAUACCGGAGAAUGUUAUCACGGGAGACACACGGCGGGUGCUAACGUCCGUCGUGAAGAGGGAAACAACCCAGACCGCCAGCUAAGGUCCCAAAGUCAUGGUUAAGUGGGAAACGAUGUGGGAAGGCCCAGACAGCCAGGAUGUUGGCUUAGAAGCAGCCAUCAUUUAAAGAAAGCGUAAUAGCUCACUGGUCGAGUCGGCCUGCGCGGAAGAUGUAACGGGGCUAAACCAUG